rnacentral:rRNA from 1 species
UACAGAGGGUGCAAGCGUUAAUCGGAAUUACUGAGCGUAAAGCGUGCGUAGACGGUUACAUAAGUCGGGUGUGAAAGCCCCGGGCUCAACCUGGGAAUUGCAUUCGAGACUGCGUAGCUAGGGUGCGGAAGAGGGAAGCGGAAUUUCCGGUGUAGCGGUGAAAUGCGUAGAUAUCGGAAGGAACACCAGUGGCGAAAGCGGCUUCCUGGUCCAGCACCGACGUUCAGGCACGAAAGCGUGGGGAGCAAACAGG